UUGGAACAGUAUUUUUUCUUUCCUGCAAGCUUUUAACAAUUUUAAAGAAAUUAUAAAGUAUGAUAUAGCAAUAGUAGCGCAUUAUCAAGAGCAAAGAAGCAAACAUGCAACUAGCAUGAAGUCUUUCUAGGUUGGCACCUAUAAAUUAAAACACGCCAGCAGAUCUGCAGCUGUAACAAUCGGUAGUCUGUCACAACUCCUUGCUAUGAGCCAACUGAAGCCUAGAACUCUGUUUAGAUUGUUCUGCUUUAUUGAUGCAGGUCUAAUAAAAAUAUCUUCUCUCCAUUUAUAGUGCAGUUGCUAUGUGGGGCCUGCUCUGAUGUCUUGUUCCUGCUAUCAAAUGUUUUACACUGCAUGCUGGUUGGUACUUCUGGGCAGUCAAUUGAGGAUUUGGCCUUUGCUCCUUGCUCUGUUGUGUUGCUGUAGUUGUAAAACACAACAUGCUGAACACUACAGAAUCAGCUGCAGAGUGCAGACUUGGCCCUAUGUGUGAUUCAGAAAGGAGCUGGAGCUAAUGGAAUCCACUACUACAUCUUGCAGCUGAAGAAGCACCUUCUCCAAAGAUGCCGAACAAAAGGCAUGUGGCCAGGGAACAAGAGAUGCCCACUUUGGGCAGAUGAAAGCUUCACUCUCAAGUAGAAGGAUAAAGAUUUCACGCCUUGCGCAGUUAAGUAUACACACUAUAGAACCUGAAUGUAUUACCUAAAAACCGAGCAUAAAAUAAAUCUAGAACUAAAGGCACAGUUUGAUGGACCAGGAUAGAUCCAAAAUUUCUAAAACCAGCCUCAUUUUACACUGAUACAGAAUUUCUUUCUCUGACUGUGAACACGAAGAUGAUACCAAUUAAUA